CGCAGACCCAGCCCCUCCGCGCUGCCGGACUCCGAGCGGCCGCGAGCAAGUUCUGCGGGUGCCCGACCAGACUCUGCUUGCGGGGACAGCGAAACCCAUCGAGCGGAGCUGCCGGUGCCGGGGGGACGUACAAACAGCGCCCGAGCGGACGUGUGCUGCUGUUCCACGGAACCCACAGCCCAUCGCAACAGCUAAUCCAAAGCAAAGGACGGAAAGAAAGCAGGCAGUAACUUGCGCCAGGCAUCACAGCUGCCGCAGCRCAGUGCAAACACCUUGCUGGGGGAGCAGCCGGAUUCAAGUGAACCCUGACAGCCUGAAAGAUGCUCCUUUGACCUAAGUUUAGCUUUAUUUCCUGAGUAGGAAAAACUGUUUGCACUGCUGCUGCUCCUGCAAUCACAACAAAUGCUUGAGAAUAAGACAAAGAAUUUAUCAUUCUUCCCCGGGCAGAGGGUGAUAGAUUAUCUGUGGAGCUGUGGAAUUUCCCCAGACCCUCUAUGAAAUCAAUUUCUUGGAAAUGUUUCGCUGGCCAUAUAGAGGGCCGUUCGGAAACGGCAAGGUCCUCUGAUGCACAGCUUUACCUGCAAUCGUCUGGGCUGCAGCAUUUUAAUUUGUUUCCUUUAAAGAGACUCAAGGGCACCAYAAGAGGCAAUUUCCAGGAUUCAAAGGAGACGGCAGAAUCUGAUCUCCUUCCAUGGCCUUGUAUGUAAUUACUGGAAAGAAUGAGGGAGGCACUACAGAUGCAAAGACUCCAAGAGGCCAGAAGAAGUCAGUGGAAGCCCGCAGACAGACGUACCGCCGCCCGGACGCGGGGCUCGGUGGCGGCGUGCUCGGACUGCCAAGCAGGGCUGACGGCAGCAGUCUCGAAACCGCAGCUGUGGGGGGAACGCUCUCCCGGAAAGGCGAACGGAGGUGGAAGCAGGAGCACAUCGCUGCCUCCAGCCCGCGACGAGCGCAGCAGAAGAUGUACCUUGCCCCAGGAUCUGACCUGCAGCUCUGCUGGUGGUGCAAAAARCCUGCUUCAGGCUCUUGGCGAUAUCAAGCUCAUCCGUCUUGGACUUCACACCUCUGUAUYUUCACAGCCGCAGCACUGCCACUUGGAGAGAAUUUUUUACGUGUCAUCGAGUUUUAGUGCUAUUCUAUUCCGUUUGCUACCUUAGCUUAAUCAUUUCUUAACACUCUUUCAGUUUGCGCUCCUAUCUCUUUUCACCAUCAUCUGUUCCUGAUAUUUUAUUUUUCCAAUAAACUAAGUAAUUUAAUGGCCCUAAUCCCA
rnacentral:lncRNA from 1 species